CGGUCUACUAGUAAAGUGGCGGACGGGUGCGUAACACGUGGGUAAUCUACCUUCCGGCGGGGGACAACAGUCCGAAAGGAUUGCUAAUACCGCGUACGUCAGCGGCGCCUACGGGCGCUGUUGGGAAAGAUGGCCUCUCCAUGGAAGCUGUCACCGGAAGAUGAGCCCGCGUCCCAUCAGCUAGUUGGUGAGGUAAUGGCUCACCAAGGCAAAGACGGGUAGCUGGUCUGAGAGGAUGAUCAGCCACACUGGGACUGCGACACGGCCCAGACUCCUACGGGAGGCAGCAGUGGGGAAUAUUGGGCAAUGGGCGAAAGCCUGACCCAGCCACGCCGCGUGAGUGAUGAAGGCCUUCGGGUCGUAAAGCUCUGUGGGGAGGGACGAACAAAUCUGGGGCUAAUCACCCGGGUCCUGACGGUACCUCCUUAGCAAGCACCGGCUAACCCUGUGCCAGCAGCCGCGGUAAUACAGGGGGUGCAAACGUUGCUCGGAAUCAUUGGGCGUAAAGCGCACGUAGGCGGUCUGUUAUGUCGGAUGUGAAAGCCCUUGGCUUAACUGAGGAAGUGCAUCCGAAACUGGCAGGCUAGAGUACCAAAGA
rnacentral:rRNA from 1 species